rnacentral:rRNA from 1 species
UACGAAGGGUGCUAGCGUUGUUCGGAAUCACUGGGCGUAAAGCGCGCGUAGGCGGCCAAUCAAGUCAGGGGUGAAAUGCCACGGCUCAACCGUGGAACUGCCUUUGAAACUGAUUGGCUGGAAGAUGAGAGGGGAUAGCGGAAUUUCUGGUGUAGAGGUGAAAUUCGUAGAUACCAGAAGGAACACCGGUGGCGAAGGCGGCUAUCUGGCUCAUUCUUGACGCUCUGGCGCGAAAGCUAGGGUAGCAAACGGG